rnacentral:tRNA from 1 species
GCCGGUGUGUCGGAAUUGGUAGACGAGAUAGACUCAAAAUCUAUUAUCCGCAAGGGUGUGUGGGUUCGAGUCCCACCACCGGUACCA